rnacentral:rRNA from 1 species
GUACACGCUGUGACUAGCAUAUCAAUAAGCGGAGGAAAAGAAACUAACAAGGAUUCCCCUAGUAACGGCGAGUGAAGCGGGAAGAGCUCAAAUUUGAAAUCUUAAAGGGUUUCCCUUUACGAAUUGUAGUUUAAAGAAGUGUUUUCUGUUGAGGUUUUGGUAAAAGUUCUUUGGAAUAGGACAUCAUAGAGGGUGAGAAUCCCGUAUUUGACCUUUACUUUCAACUUUGUGAUACACUUUCAAAGAGUCGGAUUGUUUGGGAAUGCAGUCCAAAAUGGGUGGUAAAUUUCAUCUAAAGCUAAAUAUUGGCGAGAGACCGAUAGCGAACAAGUACCGUGAGGGAAAGAUGAAAAGAACUUUGAAAAGAGAGUUAAACAGUACGUGAAAUUGUCAAAAGGGAAGCGUUUGACACCAGUGUUGUUUUUCUGAAAAUCAAUUAAAGAACUGUUUAUGCUAAGUUGUUUAGACUUUAUCAGCUAUCUGUUUAGUUUUGAGCUUUUCUUUAAUGCACUUUUCAGUUAACAAGUCAACAUCAAUUUCUUUUGCUGUAAAAAAGCUUGAGGAAGGUGGCUUGAGAUUCGUCUUAAGUGUUUAUAGCCUCUUGCCUAUGCAGUCGGAGAGAUUGAGGUCUGCAGCGUAGAUCCUUCGGGGCUAAAUGCAUUUGUGCUAAGUUAUAGCAUUUUAUAGACAACUUGUUGACUAUGAUUUGUCUUGUAGCUUACUCGCUUAUGUUAUUUUACCUACGCUUAGGAUGUUGAAGUCAUCGUAUCGCGC